GAUGAACGCUGGCGGCGUGCCUAACACAUGCAAGUCGAGCGAUUCUCUUCGGAGAAGAGCGGCGGACGGGUGAGUAACGCGUGGGUAACCUGCCCUGUACACACGGUUAACAUACCGAAAGGUAUGCUAAUACGAGAUAAUAUGCUUUUAUCGCAUGGUAGAAGUAUCAAAGCUCCGGCGGUACAGGAUAGACCCGCGUCUGAUUAGCUAGUUGGUAAGGUAACGGCUUACCAAGGCGACGAUCAGUAGCCGACCUGAGAGGGUGAUCGGCCACAUUGGAACUGAGACACGGUCCAAACUCCUACGGGAGGCAGCAGUGGGGAAUAUUGCACAAUGGGCGAAAGCCUGAUGCAGCAACGCCGCGUGAGCGAUGAAGGCCUUCGGGUCGUAAAGCUCUGUCCUCAAGGAAGAUAAUGACGGUACUUGAGGAGGAAGCCCCGGCUAACUACGUGCCAGCCGCCGCGGUAA
rnacentral:rRNA from 1 species